AUGGGCUCCCUGAGAAGCAGCGGCAGCGGCGCGGCAGUGCCCGUAGAGAGUGUUGACCCCGAGGCGGCUUGCGCACUGCUGGCCUCGGGGCAGUACGGGUACGUGGACGUGCGCAUGUGGGAGGACUUCGACAAGGGCCAUGUCGCCGGCGCGCGCAACGUACCAUACUACCUCUCCGUCACCCCUCACGGCAAGGAGCACAACCCUCACUUCGUCGACCAGGUCGCCGCGCUCCACGCCAAGGAGGACCGGUUCCUCGUUGGCUGCCGCUCCGGGAUCCGGUCAAGGCUCGCCACCGCAGACCUCGUCGCCGCCGGAUUCACGAAUGUGAAGAACCUGGAGGGUGGCUACCUCUCCUUGCUCAAGAGCGCAAGCUACCCGCAGCCGGCAGCCAGCCACCACUGA
rnacentral:rRNA from 1 species